GAUGAACGCUGGCGGCGUGCCUAAUACAUGCAAGUCGAGCGAAUGGAUUGAGAGCUUGCUCUUAUGAAGUUAGCGGCGGACGGGUGAGUAACACGUGGGUAACCUGCCCAUAAGACUGGGUUAACUCCGGGAAACCGGGGCUAAUACCGGAUAACAUUUUGAACCGCAUGGUUCGAAAUUGAAAGGCGGCUUCGGCUGUCACUUAUGGAUGGACCCGCGUCGCAUUAGCUAGUUGGUGAGGGAACGGCUCACCAAGGCAACGAUGCGUAGCCGACCUGGGGGGGUGAUCGGCCCAACUGGGACUGAGACACGGCCCAGACUCCUACGGGAGGCAGCAGUAGGGAAUCUUCCGCAAUGGACGAAAGUCUGACGGAGCAACGCCGCGUGAGUGAUGAAGGCUUUCGGGUCGUAAAACUCUGUUGUUAGGGAAGGACAAGUGCUAGUUGAAUAAGCUGGCACCUUAACGGUACCUAACCAGAAAGCCACGGCUAACUACGUGCCAGCCGCCGCAGUAA
rnacentral:rRNA from 1 species